GAUGAAGAACGUAGCGAAAUGCGAUACGUAAUGUGAAUUGCAGAAUUCAGUGAAUCAUCGAAUCUUUGAACGCAUAUUGCGCUCUUUGGUAUUCCGAAGAGCAUGCUUGUUUGAGUAUCAGUAAACACCUCAACCUCUUCUUGAUUUUUCAAAAGGAGGGUGGACUUGAGCUAUCCCAACAACCUUUACCGGUCGGCGGGCGGCUUGAAAUGCAGGUGCAGCUGGACUUUUAUCUGAGCUAAAAGCAUAUCUAUUUAGUCCUCGUCAAACAGGAUUAUUACUUUUGCUGCAGCUAACAUAAAGGAUAAUUGUCCUCUUUGCUGACUGAUGCAGGAUUUUACGACACUUUAUGUGUUGUUCAACUCGAUCUCAAAUCAAGUAAGACUACCCGCUGAACUUAAGCAUAUAAUAAGCGGAGGA
rnacentral:misc_RNA from 1 species